rnacentral:siRNA from 1 species
ACCCGACCCGAAUACCCAAACGU